rnacentral:rRNA from 1 species
GACAGAGGGUGCAAACGUUGUUCGGAAUUACUGGGCGUAAAGCGCACGUAGGCGGCUUUGUAAGUUAGAGGUGAAAGCCCGGGGCUCAACCCCGGAAUUGCCUUUAAGACUGCAUCGCUUGAAUCCGGGAGAGGUGAGUGGGAUUCCGAGUGUAGAGGUGAAAUUCGUAGAUAUUCGGAAGAACACCAGUGGCGAAGGCGGCUCACUGGACCGGUAUUGACGCUGAGGUGCGAAAGCGUGGGGAGCAAACAGG